AGACAGCAGUGGCAGUAUCGUAGCCAAUGAGGUUAAUCCGAGGCAAGAUUAUUGCUAAUUGAAACUUUUCCCCAAGUCCC
rnacentral:snRNA from 1 species